GUUUAAAUAGUUGCGAGACAGCAACCGCGCAGGCGCAUUCUGAGCCUCCCCAGGGAGGGACCGCUUAGCGGUCCAGCGCCGCCCGCAAGGGAAGCACAGUCUCCUCCUCCAGCCCUGCGGACCCGGGCCUGGUCCUUCUCCUGGAGGCACGUGCGCAGAACCCAGCAGUGGCCACCGGGACCCUGAUGGCUGUGGACCAGGAUGCCUUCAACGGCAAGGAAAAGAAAACCCCAGUCAGAUGGUCACGAACACUAGACAGAAGAAACCUACGGGUCGGACGACCUCCCGCUGCUGUCCGUUAAUACAGUGAAGCCUUGGAUUGCGAGUAAGCGUCGCCCACGAGUGUUCCGCAAGACCAGCAAACGUUUCUAAUAAAUUUUACCUCGAUAAAUGAGCGACG
rnacentral:lncRNA from 1 species